ACGCGGUGAAUACGUUCCCGGGCCUUGUACACACCGCCCGUCAAGCCAUGGAAGUUGGGGGUACCUAAAGUACGUAACCGCAAGGAGCGUCCUAGGGUAAAACUGAUAACUGGGGCU
rnacentral:rRNA from 1 species